rnacentral:sRNA from 1 species
CGGUUGCAGUGAGCUGAGAUCACACCACUAUACUCCAGCUUGGGCAACCAGAGUGAGACCCUGUCUCAAAAAAAAAAAAAAAAAGAAAAGAAAAAAGAAAAAAUUUAGAUGUUGUGUGUUAUAUUUUAUUUUAUACAUGAUUGUUCUGAUACUAAAUUUCACUAAUAUGGAAGAAAAGCAUGUGUUCUGCACUGAAGAACAGUGUACAAAAGAAUUUAAGAAACUACCUGCUGAAUAAAUCGAGCUACAUUUAAAGUGUAUAAUUUUAAAAUUAAAAAUUUUCUCAUUUUAAUGUUAACUUUUUAGCUCUGCAAGAUUUGAAGGGUCCCUUAAUAUGGACCUUAAUGAAAUCAGCAUGAAUUUAGUUCCUUUUCCUCAACUUCAUUAUCUCGUGUCAAGCCUAACACCUCUGUAUACACUGACAGAUGUUAACAUUCCUCCUAGAAGAUUGGAUCAGAUGUUUUCAGAUGCCUUUAGUAAAGAUCACCAGCUGCUUCAGGCGGACCCCAAACACAGUCUUUACCUCGCCUGUGCGCUCAUGGUUAGAGGAAAUGUACAAAUUUC